rnacentral:rRNA from 1 species
AUUGAACGCUGGUGGCAUGCCUUGCACAUGCAAGUCGAACGGUAACAGGUCUUCGGAUGCUGACGAGUGGCGAACGGGUGAGUAAUACAUCGGAACGUGCCUAGUAGUGGGGGAUAACUACUCGAAAGAGUGGCUAAUACCGCAUGAGAUCUACGGAUGAAAGCAGGGGAUCGCAAGACCUUGUGCUACUAGAGCGGCCGAUGGCAGAUUAGGUAGUUGGUGGGAUAAAAGCUUACCAAGCCGACGAUCUGUAGCUGGUCUGAGAGGACGAUCAGCCACACUGGGACUGAGACACGGCCCAGACUCCUACGGGAGGCAGCAGUGGGGAAUUUUGGACAAUGGGCGCAAGCCUGAUCCAGCAAUGCCGCGUGCAGGAUGAAGGCCUUCGGGUUGUAAACUGCUUUUGUACGGAACGAAAAGCCCUGGGUUAAUACCCUGGGGUCAUGACGGUACCGUAAGAAUAAGCACCGGCUAACUACGUGCCAGCCGCCGCCGUAAAAC